rnacentral:rRNA from 1 species
AUGUGGGAGGCAGUCCAGGACAGCAACGUCGACCACCUAGAGGAUCGACGGGCGCUGGACGCCCUCAUCGCCGCAGUCCCGCCCGAGAUGCAGUUCUCGCUUUCCAACAAGCGGACUGCCAAGGAGGCCUGGGACGCCAUCGCCGCAGCACGCAUCGGCAGCGACCGUGCUCGCAAGUCCACCCUGCAGGCACUUCGUAAGGAGUGGGAGAACCUGGGCUUCAAGCCAGGUGAGGACGUUGAUGACUUUGCUCUCCGUCUCAACACUCUGCUGCAGAAGAUGGUGAAGUUUGGCGAUGCCACCUACACCGAGGAGAGAGCUGUCGAGAAGCUUUUUUGGUGCAUUCCCGAGAAGUACAAGCAGAUGGCUCGCUCGAUCGAGUCGUUGCUGGACCUCUCCACGAUGACGAUCGAGGAGGCGAUAGGUCGACUCAAGGUCGUCGACACCGACGAGCCACAGCCCCCCUCGGGGCCCGUCACCACCGGCGGGAAGCUGCUCCUAACUCGGGAGCAGUGGGAUCCCAGCCUUGGUGACAGGAAGAAGGGGGAGCCUUCCUCCUCGACGGGCGGCCGCAAGCGUGGCAAGCAGCGUAAGGCGCGAAGAGGCCCCCCGGGCAGGGCACAAGGACGUGCCGAAGGUGACGCCCGCGGAGGCGCCAAGGACGGCGCCGCUGGCAAGCCCAGGCCGGCACAAGACAACAGUUGCCACAACUGUGGCCGGUUUGGCCAUUGGGCCAAUGAGUGUCGGCAACCACGACAAGGCCAGGCUCACGUCGCACAGGCGAAGGAGGAGGAGACGGCUCUGUUCAUGGCGCAUGCAAGCAUUGAGCUACCCUCGGCGACUCCAGUCGCAAAGGCUUUCAUCCACCUCGAUGAGCCAAAAGCACACGCUCUUCUCGGCGAUGGCUCCGGGAAGGACAAGGCUACGGGGUGGUGCCUCGACACCGGCGCCACCCACCACAUGACCGGUCGAAGGGAAUUCUUCGCCGAGCUCGACUCCGAUGCGCGAGGCUCCGUCAAGUUCGGGGAUGCCUCCGCUGUGGAGAUAAAGGGCGUCGGCUCCGUCAUCUUCACCACCAAGAUGGGAGAGCACCGGCUGCUCACCGGUGUCUACUACAUCCCCGCGCUAAGGAAUUCCAUCAUCAGCUUGGGACAGCUGGAUGAGAACGGCUCACGCGUGCUGAUUGAGCAUGGGGUCCUACGCAUCUGGGAUCGCCAGCGUCGCCUUCUCGCCAAGGUGCCCAGAGGUGAAAAUCGACUCUACGUCCUUGAUGUGCAGGUGGCACAACCGGUCUGUCUCGCUGUCCGUCGAGACGACGAGGCAUGGCAGUGGCAUGAGCGCUUUGGGCACCUUCACUUUGAGGCCCUGAAGCGUCUAAGUGCCAAGGAGAUGGUGCGAGGCCUGCCAUGCCUCGACCAUGUGGAGCAGUUCUGCGAGUUUUCGGGCUAA